CCGGCCUUUGUGGUUACCCCUGUCGCGGGGGCUUUUGUUGCGCGCCGCGAAGCCUUUAGGAAAAAAACUAACAAAGAAUAUGAAACCAAGAUGCAAGCAGAUCCUCAAAGGAAACAUUCAACGCAAGUUCAAAGAGUCACUGUGUAAUCAAUCUUGAAAAAAAAAAAAAACGCAGGGAAGCAAGAACAAAAGGAAGCCUAAUAACUUUUCAAGACAGCUACUUUCAUCAACUAAA